rnacentral:rRNA from 1 species
GUGAGGAAUAUUGGUCAAUGGACGAGAGUCUGAACCAGCCAAGUCGCGUGCAGGAAGAAUGUCCUAUGGAUUGUAAACUGCUUUUGCAGGGGAAUAAAGUGCAUCACGUGUGAUGUUUUGUAUGUACUCUGCGAAUAAGGAUCGGCUAACUCCGUGCCAGCAGCCGCGGUAAUACGGAGGAUCCGAGCGUUAUCCGGAUUUAUUGGGUUUAAAGGGUGCGUAGGCGGGAUAAUAAGUCAGUGGUGAAAGUUUGCAGCUUAACUGUAAAAUUGCCGUUGAAACUGUUAUUCUUGAGAGUAGAUAAGGUAGGCGGAAUGUGUUGUGUAGCGGUGAAAUGCAUAGAUAUAACACAGAACCCCGAUUGCGAAGGCAGCUUACCGGGCUACAUCUGACGCUGAUGCACGAAAGCGUGGGGAUCAAACAGGAUUAGAAACCCCAGUAGUCC